CUUCCUCACCUCUGCAGGUCUAGGAUCUGUCUCUCCUCUUCCUCACCUCUGCAGGUCUAGGAUCUGUCUCUCCUCUUCCUCACCUCUACAGGUCUAGGAUCUGUCUCCCCUCUUCCUCACCUCUGCAGGUCUAGGAUCUGUCUCCCCUCUUCCUCACCUCUACAGGUCUAGGAUCUGUCUCUCCUCUUCCUCACCUCUGCAGGUCUAGGAUCUGUCUCCCCUCUUCCUCACCUCUGCAGGUCUAGGAUCUGUCUCUCCUCUUCCUCACCUCUGCAGGUCUAGGAUCUGUCUCCCCUCUUCCUCACCUCUGCAGGUCUAGGAUCUGUCUCCCCUCUUCCUCACCUCUGCAGGUCUAGGAUCUGUCUCCCCUCUUCCUCACCUCUGCAGGUCUAGGAUCUGUCUCCCCUCUUCCUCACCUCUGCAGGUCUAGGAUCUGUCUCUCCUCUUCCUCACCUCUGCAGGUCUAGGAUCUGUCUCCCCUCUUCCCUCACCUCUGCAGGUCUAGGAUCUGUCUCCCCUCUUCCUCACCUCUGCAGGUCUAGGAUCUGUCUCCCCUCUUCCUCACCUCUGCAGGUCUAGGAUCUGUCUCCCCUCUUCCUCACCUCUGCAGGUCUAGGAUCUGUCUCUCCUCUUCCUCACCUCUGCAGGUCUAGGAUCUGUCUCUCCUCUUCCUCACCUCUGCAGGUCUAGGAUCUGUCUCUCCUCUUCCUCACCUCUGCAGGUCUAGGGAUCUGUCUCUCCUCUUCCUCACCUCUGCAGGUCUAGGAUCUGUCUCUCCUCUUCCUCACCUCUGCAGGUCUAGGAUCUGUCUCUCCUCUUCAGCUUUAGGGAUCUUGAUGGAGUUUACCUCCCCCGAGGGGGCGGAGUCCUGGGCUGGUGCCGCCCUCUUCCUGCCUUUGG
rnacentral:lncRNA from 1 species